GGCUGGUCCAAAGGUAGUGAGUUAUUGACUGUGACUUGAUUGUUCACAGUCGGUUACAGAUUGAACUCCUUGUUCCACUACUUUCCCCCUUCUCACUACUGCACUUGACUGGUCUGAA
rnacentral:Y_RNA from 1 species